GGGUAGCACAGUUGGCAGAGCAUGAGACUCUUAAUCUCAGGUUCAUGGGUUUGAGCCCCACGUUAGGUG